GACGAACGCUGGCGGUGUGCUUAACACAUGCAAGUCAAGGAGAACUUUAUCUUCGGAUAAAUAUUAAACUGGCGAACGGGUGAGUAACGCGUAAAUAACUUGCCUCAGAGAUUGGGAUAACAUUGGGAAACCAUUGCUAAUACCAAAUAAUGCAGCGGGCCCUUCGGGGCAUUUGUUGUUAAAGUAGGCUUCGGCUUACACUUUGAGAUAGGUUUGCGUCCGAUUAGUUUGUUGGUAGGGUAAUUGCCUACCAAGGCGAAGAUCGGUAGCUGGUCUGAGAGGAUGAUCAGCCACACUGGAAUUGAGAUACGGUCCAGACUCCUACGGGAGGCAGCAGUGAGGAAUUUUGCACAAUGGGCGAAAGCCUGAUGCAGCAACACCGCGUGAUUGACGAAGUUUUUAGGAAUGUAAAAAUCUGUCGUAAGGGAAGAAAUGUUU
rnacentral:rRNA from 1 species